AGGGGGCGCAGGCUUUCCGGGUAGGAGAGGUCGCUUGGCGCGUCCAAGGGGACCCCCAAGCCACCGGUAGGGACGCGGAGCGGCUGGAGCGGUCUCUGCUGGGCCGGGAGGCUGACGCUGUCCCAGGCCACCCUCCGCGCCACCAAGCUCCAGUCCCGGCCAGCCGCGCGUGCGGGGAGGUCAGGGAGGACUCUCCCAGGCGCCGGGCCGCGUCCCUGCCGCGAUCUCCUUUGCUUCCUGGCGGUUUCGGGAUGAGAAGGAGCGUUCGCGGAGGCCCAGCCCAAUAGGAAGCACCUGAUCCACACUCUUUCUAGCCCCAGGGAUGCUCAGGAAAGCAGCCUUUCUUUAGGGCUGUCAUCUGUUCUGGGGAUCUGUUGCUGUUUCUUGGGCCCACAGAAUACACUCCACACCUCGGGACUCCAUAAUAUUGGACAAGGCUGGAAGGCCCAUUUGGCUCCUGCAGCCUCUUAUGCAGGAGGACCUCCUGAGGCUUCGGGCAGGAGCUGGUGCACACCUGGAGGAGAGUGCUGGUGAAUGGCAGGUGUGUGCCUCAGUGUCCUUGCUGCCAGGGUGUCAGCCCUGCUUCACCACUGGCCGUUUGUCUCUGUCCCCUCCACUGGCCUCUUGAAGCACAGAGACCCUCCGGGUACUUUCCUUCCUCUGGGCUUCCACUCAUGCUAUUCCCUGCUCCCUUUUUCUACCUGGAGACCCCCAUUCCUCCUCCUCCUCUGCUGCCCUCACCUCCACCUGGGCCCUCCCAGCUCCCGGGAGAUGGCUGAACCCCACUCCCCACCCGCUAGUCAUCCUCUUCAGCGGUCCUCCCAGAGCUGUCCUCAGCAUGGCAGCCUCCACAGCCCCUGGGUGUCACCCCCGGUUUCGUGUCUGCCUCGGACUCCAGACCUGCCCCUCCCAGGCUGGCCCAGAUGGAUCCUCUACAGUGACUAACCCAAACCAGCACCAGGCAGGGACCCAAUAAACCUUUGUGAAUGGA
rnacentral:lncRNA from 1 species